rnacentral:rRNA from 1 species
AUAUCAAUAAGCGGAGGAAAAGAAACCAACAGGGAUUGCCCCAGUAACGGCGAGUGAAGCGGCAAGAGCUCAAAUUUGAAAUCUGGCCUCCUCCGGGGGUCCGAGUUGUAAUUUGCAGAGGAUGCUUCGGGUGCGGCCCCCGUCUAAGUUCCUUGGAACAGGACGUCAGAGAGGGUGAGAAUCCCGUCUUGGGCGGGCGGCCCGCGCCCGUGUGAAGCUCCUUCGACGAGUCGAGUUGUUUGGGAAUGCAGCUCUAAGCGGGUGGUAAAUUUCAUCUAAAGCUAAAUACUGGCCGGAGACCGAUAGCGCACAAGUAGAGUGAUCGAAAGGUUAAAAGCACCUUGAAAAGGGAGUUAAACAGCACGUGAAAUUGUUGAAAGGGAAGCGCUUGCGGCCAGACUCGGGGGCGGGGUUCAGCGGGCGCUCGUCGCCCGUGCACUCCCCGCGCCUCGGGCCAGCAUCAGUUUCGACGGCCGGUCAAAGGCCCCCGGAAUGUGUCGUCUCUAGGGACGUCUUAUAGCCGGGGGUGCAAUGCGGCCCGUCGGGACUGAGGAACGCGCUCCGGCUCGGAUGCUGGCGUAAUGGCCGUAAGCGGC